rnacentral:rRNA from 1 species
AGUGAACGCUGGCGGCAGGCCUAACACAUGCAAGUCGAGCGGCAGCACAGUGAGAGCUCGCUCCUACGGGUGGCGAGGGGCGGGUGAGUGAGGAAUACAUCGCAAUCUACUUUUUCUGGGGUGAUAACGGGGGGACACUUACGCUAAUAGCGCAUACGUCCAACGGGUGAGAUCAGGGGAUCUUCGGACCUUUGGUGAUUGAAUGAGCCGGUGUCGGAUUAGCUAGUUGGCGGGGUAAGGGCCCACCAAGGCGACGAUACGUAGCCGGUCUGAGAGGAUGAUCAGCCACACUGGAACUGAGACACGGUCCAGACUCCUACGGGAGGCAGCAGUGGGGAAUAUUGGACAAUGGGCGAAAGCCUGAUCCAGCCAUGCCGCGUGAGUGAAGAAGGUCUUCGGAUUGUAAAGCCCUUUUAUUGGGGAAGAAAAGAAGUAGGUUAAUACAUGGCUGUUUUGACGGUACCCAAAGAAUAAGCACCGGCUAACUUCGUG